rnacentral:rRNA from 1 species
UACGUAGGAGGCAAGCGUUGUCCGGAUUUACUGGGCGUAAAGAGCGUGUAGGCGGUUCGUUAAGUCCGCUGUGAAAUCUCCUGGCUCAACCAGGAUAAGUCGGUGGAAACUAGCGAACUUGAGGACGGUAGAGGGGGGUGGAAUUCCCGGUGUAGUGGUGAAAUGCGUAGAGAUCGGGAGGAACACCAGCGGCGAAGGCGGCCCCCUGGGCCGCUCCUGACGCUGAGACGCGAAGGCGUGGGGAGCGAACAGG